rnacentral:rRNA from 1 species
AAGCAUAUGACUAAGCGGAGGAAAAGAAACUAACCAGGAUUCCCCCAGUAACGGCGAGUGAAGCGGGAAGAGCUCACCUUGAGAAUCCGGCCUUCGGGCCCGAGUUGUAGUCUGGAGAGGCGAGGCCUGCCGCUGUCCGCGGCGAAGUCUGAUUGGAAAUGAGCAUCAUGGAGGGUGAUAAUCCCGUUCAGGCCGCGGUAUCAACCAGCGCGCGCAAGGCCCGUUUUCGGCGAGUCGAGUUGCUUGGGAUUGCAGCUCAAAGUGGGUGGUAAACCCCACCCAAAGCUAAACACGGGGGGGAGACCGAUAGCGAACAAGUACCGUGAGGGAAAGAUGCAAAGAACUUUGAAAAGAGAGUUAAAGAGUGCCUGAAAUUGCUGAGAGGGAAGCGAAGGAAAGUAGUGCCGGUUGCGGGUGACCUUUUCGAGUUCCCUCCGGGGGUUCGGAUAUGUCGCCCGCCUUUGUCAGGGGAGUUAGUGAGGCUUUGCGGGAUGAUCGGGGCCGGAAGGUAGCCCUCCUCGGAGGGCGGAUGAACGGCCCUUUGUUAUGCGUCGCGGGCCAGGUGACACUCGUCGUUCUGGCGAUAAAUGCUUUUCUUUUCCCCGUCUUGA